rnacentral:rRNA from 1 species
GUGAGGAAUUUUCCGCAAUGGGCGAAAGCCUGACGGAGCAAUGCCGCGUGAAGGAUGAAGGCCUAUGGGUUGUAAACUUCUUUUCUCAGAAAAGAAUUAUGACGGUAUCUGAGGAAUAAGCAUCGGCUAACUCUGUGCCAGCAGCCGCGGUAAGACAGAGGAUGCAAGCGUUAUCCGGAAUGAUUGGGCGUAAAGCGUCUGUAGGUUGUUUAAAAAGUAUUCUGCCAAAGAUUAGGGCUUAACCCUAGAUAGGCAGAAUAAACUUUUAAGCUAGAGUUUGGUAGAGGCAGAGGGAAUUCCCGGUGGAGCGGUGAAAUGCGUAGAUAUCGGGAGGAACACCAAAGGCGAAGGCACUCUGCUGGGCCAAUACUAACACUGAGAGACGAAAGCGAGGGGAGCAAAUGGGAUUAGAAACCCCAGUAGUCC